CCUACGGGCGGCAGCAGUGAGGAAUAUUGGUCAAUGGGCGCAAGCCUGAACCAGCCAAGUCGCGUGAGGGAAGACGGCCCUACGGGUUGUAAACCUCUUUUGCCGGGGAGCAAGCCUGAGCACGUGUGCCCAGGCGGAGAGUACCCGGAGAAAAAGCAUCGGCUAACUCCGUGCCAGCAGCCGCGGUAAUACGGAGGAUGCGAGCGUUAUCCGGAUUUAUUGGGUUUAAAGGGUGCGUAGGCGGAGUGUCAAGUCAGCGGUAAAAUUUCGGGGCUCAACCCCGUCGUGCCGUUGAAACUGACGCCCUUGAGUGAGUGAGAAGUAAGCGGAAUGCGUGGUGUAGCGGUGAAAUGCAUAGAUAUCACGCAGAACGCCGAUUGCGAAGGCAGCUUACCGGCGCUCAACUGACGCUGAGGCACGAAAGUGCGGGUAUCGAACAGGAUUAGAUACCCUGGUAGUC
rnacentral:rRNA from 1 species